rnacentral:lncRNA from 1 species
AUGGGAAUGCCCCACUGGUGAUCUCUGCACUGGUACAGGUAAAGCACAGUUUAAACACACACUGGACAAAGAGCAGCACCAUGUUGCAUGAUUAAAUUGCCCAUGUACCUGCAGGAAGUGGAGAACGGAUCCUGCUCACCAGAGCUGUGAAACAUAUUCACCUGUUGCAGGAAUUAAUCCUUUUUUUUUUUUUUUUUUUUUUUACUAACAGAGAGUGGCAGAGCUGUGCACACAGAAAUCCUGUCUGAAAUGAAUCCCUGAUAAAGAGGAAGCCAAGUUGAAAGAGCUGGAAGAUUUCAGGUUGAGGCAGGAAAUUUGUGCGAGUUGUUAUUACUGCAAUCAGAUGAAGUGAGAAUUGGAUCGGCCGAGGCUGCCAGAGCACAGCUCUCCCAGCAGGACACCCAGGCUCUGCCCAAUCAGGGAAAGCUGCUAGCUCGAUCUGCAGGUCCCACCAGCAAUUUUGGACUUGCCUUUGGUGUCCCACCUCUCCCUCCCAUCCCACCUCCCAGCCCCACCAGCUGCCAGCAGAGAGCAGGGAAACGCAUCGGGACAGGAGGGCGAGGAAUCAGAAAGGACUUGGCGAG